CCUACGGGAGGCUGCAGUGGGGAAUUUUGGACAAUGGGCGAAAGCCUGAUCCAGCCAUUCCGCGUGAGUGAAGAAGGCCUUCGGGUUGUAAAGCUCUUUCGGCAGGAACGAAAUGGUUGCGGUUAAUAACCGCGACUUCUGACGGUACCUGAAGAAGAAGCACCGGCUAACUACGUGCCAGCAGCCGCGGUAAUACCUAGGGUGCGAGCGUUAAUCAGAAUUACUGGGGGGAAUUCGUGCGCAGGAUGUUAAAGCCCCGGGCUUAACCUGGGAAUGGCGUUUGAAACUACAAGGCUAGAGUGUGUCAGAGGGGGGUAGAAUUCCACGUGUAGCAGUGAAAUGCGUAGAGAUGUGGAGGAAUACCGAUGGCGAAGGCAGCCCCCUGGGAUAACACUGACGCUCAUGCACGAAAGCGUGGGGAGCAAACAGGAUUAGAUACCCCGGUAGUC
rnacentral:rRNA from 1 species